UACCUCCACUCCUUGGGCAGAUCAUUAUGCCUUUGGAUUAUCUCUUGUUCAGUACUCUUCUCUUGCUCAGCAUCUUUUGUCGGUUCAUCUUCAUUUUGGGUUGAUCUUUUCUUUAAAUUGAGCUUCUUCAUUUCAUUCUCUAGAAUUUUUACAUUAUCUUCAAACAUAUCUUCCUUUCUUGAAGAUAAAUCGUUAGCUUCAUCAA
rnacentral:lncRNA from 1 species